rnacentral:lncRNA from 1 species
GCAUCCUGCUCAUCCUUCACCGUGGGCCGCCAGCCUCACACCGUGCCGCCGGUUUAAAAUCACUUUGGAACACACAGCAAGGGUCCUGACAGCUUCUGCUCAGCCGAGCGGCCCUCCCCAACUCCCAUUUCACAGCUGCUGUCCAGCUGCAGGGCUCACGGCCUAUUCACAGGACAAUAUUUGAAGUAUUCGAAGUAUGGGUGUCGCAGCCCAAGGCCGAAUGCCAGGCUCCUUGUGCGGAAGGAGAGCGGGCACUUGGUACCAGAUGGAAGUUGGACAGAUGCUCUGGGCCUCUGGGCCGCCGCAAGCUUUCCGCAGGACGCAGCACAGGAUGCAGGCCCCGCCUUCGGGUCCCAGGCCCCUUGGUGCUUUCAGGGGCAGCUCCCAGGCAGGACCUCACAGCCUCCGGGGUCGAGAGGUGCGCCAAAGCUGCGGAAAGCAGCUGGGUGUCCCCAAGCACCCGGGGGUUCGGACACUUCCCGUGACCGUGCACUGUGGCCAUUGAGUGGGGCCCAGGGCUCAGCCCGGGAGCUGGGGCCGCGGAAGGUCUGCGGGAAGAUCGCAGGGUCGGUGGCUGCGUGUGUGAGGCAGGCAGGCGGCUGCGGAGGCUCGGCCCCAAGGUGGGUGCGGGGCCUGAGAUGGGCGCAGGCCCCAAGAUGGGUGCAGGGCCCGAGGUGGGUGUGGGGCCCAAGGUGGGCACAGAUCCCAACGAAGGCAUGGGGAAGCCUUGUGGUUCCCCCCCGCCCUGGUGACACAGGGCCCAGGAGCCUUGGGAGGGGCUUGCAGCUCAGCAGGGCCUGUGGUGGAGUCCCGGCGGCAGCGACGGCCAGAGGCCCUGACGCGGCCGGGGGGGGGGGGGCGGGGCCAGUCAUUCUGGGCUCCGGGCGGUCAGGGAGCCCAGGGGCGCUCUGA